UCACUUUCAACAACGGAUCUCUUGGCUCUCGCAUCGAUGAAGAACGUAKCGAAGUGCGAUAAGUAGUGUGAAUUGCAGAAUUCCGUGAAUCAUCGAAUCUUUGAACGCAAAUUGCACUCUCUGGCAACCCGGGGAGUAUGCCUGUUUGAGGGUCAGUG
rnacentral:rRNA from 1 species